CCCUUAGAGUUUGAUCCUGGCUCAGGAUGAACGCUAGCUACAGGCUUAACACAUGCAAGUCGAGGGGAAACGAUAUUGGAAGCUUGCUUCCGAUAGGCGUCGACCGGCGCACGGGUGAGUAACGCGUAUCCAACCUGCCCAUCACUUGGGGAUAACCUUGCGAAAGUAAGACUAAUACCCAAUGAUAUCUCAAGAAGACAUCUGAAUGAGAUUAAAGAUUUAUCGGUGAUGGAUGGGGAUGCGUCUGAUUAGCUUGUUGGCGGGGUAACGGCCCACCAAGGCUACGAUCAGUAGGGGUUCUGAGAGGAAGGUCCCCCACAUUGGAACUGAGACACGGUCCAAACUCCUACGGGAGGCAGCAGUGAGGAAUAUUGGUCAAUGGGCGAGAGCCUGAACCAGCCAAGUAGCGUGCAGGAUGACGGCCCUAUGGGUUGUAAACUGCUUUUAUAAGGGAAUAAAGUGAGCCUCGUGAGACUUUUUGCAUGUACCUUAUGAAUAAGGACCGGCUAAUUCCGUGCCAGCAGCCGCGGUAAUACGGAAGGUCCGGGCGUUAUCCGGAUUUAUUGGGUUUAAAGGGAGCGUAGGCCGGAGAUUAAGCGUGUUGUGAAAUGUAGACGCUCAACGUCUGCACUGCAGCGCGAACUGGUUUCCUUGAGUACGCACAAAGUGGGCGGAAUUCGUGGUGUAGCGGUGAAAUGCUUAGAUAUCACGAAGAACUCCGAUUGCGAAGGCAGCUCACUGGAGCGCAACUGACGCUGAAGCUCGAAAGUGCGGGUAUCGAACAGGAUUAGAUACCCUGGUAGUCCGCACGGUAAACGAUGGAUGCCCGCUGUUGGUCUGAAUAGGUCAGCGGCCAAGCGAAAGCAUUAAGCAUCCCACCUGGGGAGUACGCCGGCAACGGUGAAA
rnacentral:rRNA from 1 species